AACCUUUGCUGUCUUGGGACGGAUCACCGCUGCAAGAGGGGAAGUUGCUACUGUGAUGAAUUCUGCCAUGUGGCACCAGACUGCCACCCAGACCACAGUGUCCUCUGCAACCCUGGUCAAAGCUUCUCAGAUGACCAAGAUGGUGCUGCAGAUGGUGCUGAGGAUGGAGAACCCACCAAGCCCCGCUAGGAGCCACCUAGACUGGAUGCAGAGCAUGGUGAGCUCCCUGCAGGUUCUCUGAGAAGGGGUGGAUGGCAGCCUGCUCCUUGCCUUUGUGCCCUCCAGGCCCCAAAGUCAGGGAACCAAAAGAAGAAAGGGGCCGUAGCUAGGGCAGAGCUCCACUGCAAUGAUUGUUUUAGGGGUAGGAGCCAGGAUUGCCGUCUGUGGACACUGAAAUUUGAAUCUCAUAUACUUUUGUGACAAAACAUUCUUCCUCUUUUGUUCUUCUCCUACCAUCUAAAAAUGUAGAAAACAUUCUUAGCCUAUGAGUUGCACAAAAACAGGCAGUGGCCAGAUUUGGCCCAUAGACCAUAGUUUGCUGACUUCUGCCCU
ensembl:lncRNA MUC20-OT1 MUC20 overlapping transcript